AGGGGAGAAAUCCGGGCUUAGUGAUCCGGCGGUAGCAUGUGGAAGUGCCGUCGCUCAACGGAUAAAAGGUACUCCGGGGAUAACAGGCUUAUCGGUCCCGAGAGUUCAUAUCGACGGACCGGUUUGGCACCUCGAUGUCGGCUCAUCGCAUCCUGGGGCUGGAGAAGGUCCCAAGGGUCCGGCUGUUCGCCGGUUAAAGCGGUACGCGAGCUGGGUUUAGAACGUCGUGAGACAGUUCGGUCUCUAUCUCCUGUGGGCGUAGGAUACUUGAGGGGGGUCCUUCCUAGUACGAGAGGACCGGAAGGAACGAACCUCUGGUGUACCAGUUGUUCCGUCCGGAGCAGAAGCUGGGUAGCCAUGUUCGGUCGGGAUAAACGCUGAAAGCAUCUAAGCGUGAAGCCCACCCCAAGAAUAGGUAUCCCUGAAGGCAUCCCGUAGACUACGGGUUUGAUAGGUCCUGAGUGUAAGCGCGGUAACGCGUUGAGCUUAAGGAUACUAAGGAAGCCGUUUGGCUUGACCAC
rnacentral:rRNA from 1 species